rnacentral:tRNA from 1 species
UAGGGGUAUAGUAUAACGGUAGAAUGCGUGGUUUGGGGCCAUGUGGUGUGGGUUCGAUUCCCGCUACCCCUAU